GCACAGCUCUGAAGAUAAAGUUACUGCUGGUCAGCCUUCAAUGUGGAGAGAAGAUCAGAAUAUAACAACACAGCUAUCAGGGCAUGAGGAGGAGGAAACAGCUUGGCUCUGAAACAUGUUCACAACGAGGCAGAGUGAACGCGCUGGUGUCUUUUAAGGCUAUUACUCUGAGAAAAGGUUUUUCCACAUUGUUCACAGCUGUACGGUUUCUCUCCAGAGUGAAUGGGCUGGUGAGCUUUAAGGUUACUACUCUGAGAAAAUG